rnacentral:rRNA from 1 species
UACGUAGGGGGCUAGCGUUGUCCGGAUUUAUUGGGCGUAAAGAGCGUGUAGGCGGCCAUGUAGGUCCGGUGUGAAAACUCGAGGCUUAACCUCGAGAUGUCAUCGGAAACCAUUUGGCUAGAGUCCGGAAGAGGAGAGUGGAAUUCCUGGUGUAGCGGUGAAAUGCGCAGAUAUCAGGAGGAACACCGGUGGCGAAGGCGGAUCUCUGGGCCUUACCUGACGCUGAGGCGCGAAAGCUAGGGGAGCGAACAGG